UGCGUAGGCGGCCUGACAAGUUGGGUGUGAAAUCCCUCGGCUCAACCGAGGAAUUGCGUCCAAAACUGUUGGGCUCGAGGGAGUUAGAGGUAAGCGGAACUUAGGGUGGAGCGGUGAAAUGCGUUGAUAUCCUAAGGAACACCAGUGGCGAAAGCGGCUUACUGGAGCUCUUCUGACGCUGAGGCACGAAAGCUAGGGGAGCGAACGG
rnacentral:rRNA from 1 species